rnacentral:rRNA from 1 species
UACGUAGGGCGCAAGCGUUGUCCGGAAUUAUUGGGCGUAAAGAGCUCGUAGGCGGCUUGUCACGUCGAUUGUGAAAGCCCGAGGCUUAACCUCGGGUCUGCAGUCGAUACGGGCUAGCUAGAGUGUGGUAGGGGAGAUCGGAAUUCCUGGUGUAGCGGUGAAAUGCGCAGAUAUCAGGAGGAACACCGGUGGCGAAGGCGGGUCUCUGGGCAGUGACUGACGCUGAGGAGCGAAAGCGUGGGGAGCGAACAGG